GCUUUCGUGGCACAGUGGUACUGCGUGUGCCUAGUAGGUGAACCGAUCUCUCGAUUCCCGAAAGCACAAGAUCGGGUGUUCGAUUCACCCCGAAAGCA